rnacentral:rRNA from 1 species
AACGCGAAGAACCUUACCAGGACUUGACAUGACCAGGAAAACGGCGGAAACGUCGUCCCCCCGCAAGGGGCCUGGCCACAGGUGUUGCAUGGCUGUCGUCAGCUCGUGUCGUGAGAUGUUGGGUUAAGUCCCGCAACGAGCGCAACCCUUGUCCUUAGUUGCCAGCACUUCGGGUGGGCACUCUAAGGAGACCGCCGGUGACAAACCGGAGGAAGGUGGGGAUGACGUCAAGUCAUCAUGGCCUUUAUGGCCAGGGCUACACACGUGCUACAAUGGCCGGUACAAAGGGUUGCCAACCCGCAAGGGGGAGCCAAUCCCAAAAAGCCGUUCGUAGUCCGGAUCGGAGUCUGCAACUCGACUCCGUGAAGUCGGAAUCGCUAGUAAUCGCAGAUCAGCAAUGCUGCGGUGAAUACGUUCCCGGGUCUUGUACACACCG